rnacentral:rRNA from 1 species
ACGGGAGGCAGCAGUGGGGAAUAUUGCACAAUGGGCGCAAGCCUGAUGCAGCGAUGCCGCGUGAGGGAAGAAGGUUUUCGGAUUGUAAACCUCUGUCAACAGGGACGAAAAUGACGGUACCUGUGAAGGAAGCUCCGGCUAACUACGUGCCAGCAGCCGCGGUAAUACGUAUGGUGCAAGCGUUAUCCGGAUUUACUGGGUGUAAAGGGAGCGCAGACGGCAUGGCAAGCCAGAUGUGAAAUGCGGGGGCUCAACUCCUGAACUGCAUUUGGAACUGUCAAGCUAGAGUAUCGGAGAGGUAAGUGGAAUUCCUAGUGUAGCGGUGAAAUGCGUAGAUAUUAGGAGGAACACCAGUGGCGAAGGCGGCUUACUGGACGAUAACUGACGUUGAGGCUCGAAAGCGUGGGGAGCAAACAGGAUUAGAUACCCUGGUA